UACGUAGGCAGCGAGCGUUGUUCGGAGUUACUGGGCGUAAAGGGUGUGUAGGCGGUUGUUUAAGUUUGGUGUGAAACUCUCCCGGCUCAACUGGGAGGGUGCGCGAAUACUGAAUGACUUGGAGUCCGGAAGAGGCGAGUGGAAUUCCUGGUGUAGCGGUGAAAUGCGCAGAUAUCAGGAGGAACACCGAUGGCGAAGGCAGCUCGCUGGGACGGUACUGACGCUGAGGCGCGAAAGCGUGGGGAGCAAACAGG
rnacentral:rRNA from 1 species